UACGUAGGCGGUUUACUAAGUCAGAUGUGAAAGCCCCGGGCUUAACCUGGGAACUGCAUUUGAUACUGGUAGGCUAGAGUAUGGUAGAGGGGGGUAGAAUUCAUGGUGUAGCGGUGAAAUGCGUAGAUAUUAUGAGGAAUACCAGUGGCGAAGGCGGCCCCCUGGACCAAUACUGACGCUGAGGUACGAAAGCGUGGGUAGCGAACAGGAUUAGAUACCCUGGUAGUCC
rnacentral:rRNA from 1 species